rnacentral:lncRNA from 1 species
GAGAAAGAAAAGCCCCCACCACGAACUAGCCACCCACUUCCCCGAAAGAAAGCUGGUUUCCAUUUAAUAGGACGUUAUCCUAGACUUGGAGGGCGUUGACCAAACCCCAGCAAGCGGACGCUAUCUCGUAGAUGUACAGUAUAGGUGAAGACGCGUGGAUGUACAGUAUCAGUGCAGAACACGUCCUUAGUGGCGGGGGCUGAACGGGCGCUGAACACCCCCAUUGCCCAAGAGCUUUAAUUGUAUCUCGUCGCAGAAGCAAUCCUCAAUUGGGGAUAAUUAAGAAUGAAGAGAGUCCACAAGGAUCCAUUCCCUUUCAGGAAACCAUCGUCUAUAGCAGCUCCUUUAUCUACUGCAGAAUACCGGCGGAGUUUUGUCGAUUUACGUCCUCAGUGCUGCGAUGCAUCCGAAGAAUUUCUGGCCUUCCAAUCGCAGCUGAGAAGCGACCGCUGGAGGUCGUCAAUCUUCUAUUGAGCACCGUCGACGAGUGUAUUCCCCUGUCCGGAGAGGCUCCUACGAAUCAGCUCCUUGAUGCUCUUUUAUUGUCUUCCAGGGUUUAUAACCCGCUUCUUCAACAAAACCCUUUAUUGGUGUUGACUAAGUUGUCGCCGAGUCUCACAACCCCUCCGAUAGCCAUCGUCGCCUGAGAGACGUCCACACCUGUCUCAACGAUUUUAACACCCACAUCAAGAAGAGACGCCAACGCCUCUCCAGGUUUUUCAGGCGAGUAGUCAUCAACGC